GAUGUGACACAAUCUGGCAGUUCCCAGCUCUGAGAACUGAAUUCCAUGGACUGGUUCCCUCUUCAUAUCUUCAGUCCAUAGUAGUCAGUUCUCUAGCUUGGCUGUAUCUGACUUCACAACUAGUAA
rnacentral:pre_miRNA from 14 species